rnacentral:lncRNA from 1 species
AUUUCAUAACAUAAAUAUUCAUUUCAUUUAAAUAAUCAACAUGGCUUAUGAGUAUCUUAAAAGUUUGGCUCCUGCCAAAAUCAUUCUCGGGAAUACCUUGGCCGAGGCCUUUAACCGAGUUCGCUAAGGCUGUUUAAAAUUUCGUAUACACAUAAACAUAUUUUUAAUUUGAAAAACACAGCCAUUCCUUGACGUUAGCGGAGUUCAUCAUCACGAGGUGUUCUGUCAUGACUCCGAACUCCCCUCGAGCCCAUGACAACUGUCGUAGUGUCCCGAUGACACUCAUUACCCGAAAUGCCAACUGGAACCCCGCAAGGCUUUAAUAUCAGUUUCUCAUUUCCCCUGUGAGUAACCAUUGCCAAAUAUCACGUUCUGAAAGAUUUUAAACUAUUUCCAACUUAAAACAAUAAAAAAAUAAUUUUUAUCUCACAAGGGUAUUUUAGUCAUUUUUUCCUAAAAAUUUCGAAACCAACUAAAAUGUAGUAUACGGGUGCAAAACACAUAUUUCAUAAUCAAAAAUAAAUUUGGAUGUCUAAAACAUUCGUUUAAAAUGAAAUUAUGACUAUUAGAAUAAAAUAAAAAUAUUGAAUAAAAUAUUUAAUUUUCUCAUAAAACAAUAUUUUUAGAUCACUGCAUAAAUAAUUUUUACAGCAUAAAAGCAAAAGAAAUUCAUAUAUAUAGUAAUAUAGUAAGCCGAAGUAUUUAAUUUAAUUUACAGUAAGAAGUGGGCCCUCGAAUAACCAAAAGUAAGAAAAAUUGUGAACCUACAGUUUGGAGGAUGCAAAUCCAAUGGUGGUCCUUGAUGAAAUUAGCUAUCUAUAAACUAUCCUGAGUUUGAAAUGGGUGGAAAGGAGGGUGGUGAGAUUAUAUAAUCCUAGUGAGUAAACAAAUACCAUCUAAAAUAUCUAAAGCCGAGUAAAUGGAGGCAGAUAAAAUAGUUUAACAUACUAUAAUUCAUCACCUUUCAACUUGUUUCAACCAAAUAAAAUCAAUUCAUAUAAAUCGAGUAAUCAACAUGGCUUAUGAAUUUCUUAAAACUUUGGCUCGUGCCAAAAUUAUUCUCAUACCCAGUUAUCAGGGAUGCCUUGAUCAAGGGCUAUCCCAACCGAGUCCGCCAAGGCUGGUAAAAAGUUAUGCACGCAUAAAUCAUGUUUUUAUUUUGAAAACAUAGCUAUUCCUUGGCGUUGGUCGAGUUCACCUUCACGUGGUGGUUUGGCGUGAAGUGAACUCUAAAGUGUUAACCUCAGGAGUUAUCCAUCCGUGCCUCUCAUACUGAGGUAUGAAUAUGACCAGGUUCCGUGCCCCUCUAAUAAGCUGAUCCAUAGAACCAACCCACUGGAGCAAGCUAAACCCACCAUAUAAUAAAAAUUCAAUAGCAUGACAUGGCAAUUUUAUCAUUUUCCAACCUAUCAAGGCAAACAACAGUUUAUACAUUUCAACACAAAUACCAAUUCAGCCGUUCAUGCCAAUAUUGUCAUAAGCCAAUCAAUUAGAACCAUAAAUUCACAAUACAUCAAAUGGUCUCCAAUUACUCUAUUUUCAAAGCCAUUAUUCAAUUUCAAGACAAUUUAUAAAAUCAUUUCAUUUAAACACAUUUUGCUUAUAAAACAUAAAGAUUUACCAUGUAAACUCAUUUUCCAUAAAAUCACAAAAUCGGAUAAAAACCACUUCAGAUAAUUAAGAUGAUAGUAAGGUUACUCAUUAUUUCGGGAGUCGAAUUCCAAGUACUCUGAUUCUUGAUUCCUCGGGUACUAUCUCUUUACUUUUGCCAGAAUGCUCACCACCUAGACAUAAUGCACAAUAAGCCAUUUACUACAUUGUGCUAAAUUGUUAUAAAACUAAUUCAGGCUUUAUACUAAUGUAUGAAAUGGGAUGCAAAUUAUUCGGAUUACUAUCUAAAUACGGUAUUCUACACAAAUUCAUUUGGGUCCCUAAUUAAAUCGGCAUUGGCCUAAUUCUAUCUAUCACUCGAUUAAUUGGCCAAUAUGUCCAAUUCAACUCCAAUUAACUCCAUUUUUCUCCCAAUACUCCAAAUCAUUAAACACAAUUUAAAUAACUUGAAAUGUGGCAAAAUCAUCCUCACAUUUUCUCUUGAAAAAUUCGACCAUUUUGAGUGCAUCAACACCAUGAUUUUUCCUACUUGAUUCUCACACCACAAAUCACUAAUUCCUAACCAAAUCACUUGAAAUAAAAUCAAAAUCAUCAUCAAUAAUCUACAUGGAGAAUUCGGCCAAUGAUGGGUUAUGGGAGAAAAUGAAUUUUUCUUGUUUGAUUUUCAUGCUACACAUCACUAACUAACUAAAAACACUAGAAUAUCUUAAAAUCUAACCAAAACAACCAUCAAAUCAUCUCUCUCUAAAUUCAGUCAGCCAUGAAUCCUUCAUGAUAUCUUGUGAUUCAACCAUGGAAAAUGCAAAAUAAUGCAUGGGAAAGGUAGAUUACAAGUCAAAAUCAAGAAAUUUUACCUUUGAUUGCUUGAUUACUUGAAUUUUCACACUUUUCCCUUGAAUUUUUCCACCUAGGGUUUGUGUUCUUCUUUUCUUCCUUUGUUCUUGCUAUGGCCGGCCA